rnacentral:lncRNA from 1 species
GUAAAAAUGUUUGUGGUUGCUAGUAAUCAUAGAAUGUAAAUUAAGACAAAAUAACUUAUUUUUCCAUUCAAAUUAAUUAAAGGAUAUGAUUUAGAAAAUGUCAUGAAAAUGGUACUUUUAUAUCUUGCAGGUGAGAAGACAAAUUGACGCAACCCUCUUGAAAAGCAAUCUGGCAAUAUGAACCAAGAGCCGUGAAAAGGCUUAUGCUAUUGUAAUUAAUGAAAGAAGCAAUAAGAGAUGCUAACAAAGCUGUUUCUUUGGACAAUCUGAACCUGAUAAUGCCAAGAAGUUUCUCCAAAUGGUGGUAACGAUUUAUGCUUCCAUCAGUGAUGUAUUCUAGUGAUCAAGUUCUUCAAAUAUGGUAUUUCAAGUUUUGAAUUUUAGCUAUUUAAAUAGGCGAUUACCGAUAUUGCAUCUUUAUUUGCAUUUCCUUGAUUAGUAAUGAAAUUCAUUACCUUUCACAAAGCUGAUGUUUAUUUGGAUUUUCU